rnacentral:tRNA from 1 species
GAGGGUAUAGCUCAAGUGGUAGAGCACAUGCUUAGCAUGCAUGAGGUCCUGGGUUCAAUUCCUAGUACCUCCU